rnacentral:misc_RNA from 1 species
UCCGGUUUGUCACCGGCAGUCUCGCAUGAGUCCCCAACUAAAUGCUGGCAACAUACGACGGGGGUUGCGCUCGUUGCGGGACUUAACCCAACAUCUCACGACACGGGCUGACGACAGCCAUGCAGCACCUGUGCACGGGCUCCGAAGAGGGGCCGAUGUUUCCAUCAGCUUUCCCGUGCAUGUCAAGCCUAGGUAAGGUUCUGCGCGUUGCGUCGAAUUAAACCACAUGCUCCACCGCUUGUGCGGGCCCCCGUCAAUUCCUUUGAGUUUCAACCUUGCGGCCGUACUCCCCAGGCGGACAACUUAACGCGUUAGCUGCGACACUGGGAGGCUUACCCUCUCAACGUCUAGUUGUCAUCGUUUAUGGCGUGGACUAC